UGCGCAGUGGGGGUUCGGUUGUCCUCGCCGGUCUCACAAGACUGGAUAUCGUCAGUUCGAAUCUGACCCCGCGCAACCA
rnacentral:tRNA from 1 species